rnacentral:rRNA from 1 species
GACGAACGCUGGCGGCGUGCUUAACACAUGCAAGUCGAACGUGAUUUUUGUGGAAAUUCUUUCGGGAAUGGAAAUGAAAUGAAAGUGGCGAACGGGUGAGUAACACGUGAGCAACCUACCUUACACAGGGGGAUAGCCGUUGGAAACGACGAUUAAUACCGCAUGAGACCACAGAAUCGCAUGAUAUAGGGGUCAAAGAUUUAUCGGUGUAAGAGGGGCUCGCGUCUGAUUAGCUAGUUGGAAGGGUAAAGGCCUACCAAGGCGACGAUCAGUAGCCGGUCUGAGAGGAUGAACGGUCACAUUGGAACUGAGACACGGUCCAAACUCCUACGGGAGGCAGCAGUGGGGAAUAUUGCACAAUGGGGGGAACCCUGAUGCAGCGACGCCGCGUGAGCGAAGAAGGUUUUCGAAUCGUAAAGCUCUGUCCUAUGAGAAGAUAAUGACGGUAUCAUAGGAGGAAGCCCCGGCUAAAUACGUGCCAGCAGCCGCGGUAAUACGUAUGGGGCGAGCGUUGUCCGGAAUUAUUGGGCGUAAAGGGUACGUAGGCGGUUUUUUAAGUCAGGUGUGAAAGCGUGAGGCUUAACCUCAUUAAGCACUUGAAACUGGAAGACUUGAGUGAAGGAGAGGAAAGUGGAAUUCCUAGUGUAGCGGUGAAAUGCGUAGAUAUUAGGAGGAAUACCGGUGGCGAAGGCGACUUUCUGGACUUUUACUGACGCUCAGGUACGAAAGCGUGGGGAGCAAACAGG